rnacentral:rRNA from 1 species
GAGAUUAGUUUGAUCCUGGCUCAGAUUGAACGCUGGCGGCAUGCCUUACACAUGCAAGUCGAACGGUAACAGGUCUUCGGACGCUGACGAGUGGCGAACGGGUGAGUAAUACAUCGGAACGUGCCCAGUCGUGGGGGAUAACUACUCGAAAGAGUAGCUAAUACCGCAUACGAUCUGAGGAUGAAAGCGGGGGACCUUCGGGCCUCGCGCGAUUGGAGCGGCCGAUGGCAGAUUAGGUAGUUGGUGGGAUAAAAGCUUACCAAGCCGACGAUCUGUAGCUGGUCUGAGAGGACGACCAGCCACACUGGGACUGAGACACGGCCCAGACUCCUACGGGAGGCAGCAGUGGGGAAUUUUGGACAAUGGGCGAAAGCCUGAUCCAGCAAUGCCGCGUGCAGGAUGAAGGCCUUCGGGUUGUAAACUGCUUUUGUACGGAACGAAAAAGCUCCUUCUAAUACAGGGGGCCCAUGACGGUACCGUAAGAAUAAGCACCGGCUAACUACGUGCCAGCAGCCGCGGUAAUACGUAGGGUGCGAGCGUUAAUCGGAAUUACUGGGCGUAAAGCGUGCGCAGGCGGUUAUGUAAGACAGAUGUGAAAUCCCCGGGCUCAACCUGGGAACUGCAUUUGUGACUGCAUGGCUAGAGUACGGUAGAGGGGGAUGGAAUUCCGCGUGUAGCAGUGAAAUGCGUAGAUAUGCGGAGGAACACCGAUGGCGAAGGCAAUCCCCUGGACCUGUACCGACGCUCAUGC